AGAGUUUGAUCCUGGCUCAGAACGAACGCUGUGCGGCGUGCCUAACACAUGCAAGUCGUACGAGAAAAUCCGCUUCGGCGGGUGAGUAAAGUGGCGCACGGGUGAGUAACGCGUGGAUAAUCUGCCUUUAAGCGGGGAAUAACUUACCGAAAGGUGGGCUAACACCCCAUAAAGCUAUGGAACUCCGGUUUUCAUAGCCAAAGAGAGCCUCUGCAUGCAAGCCCUCACUUAGAGAUGAGUCCGCGUACCAUUAGCUAGUUGGUGGGGUAAUGGCCUACCAAGGCGACGAUGGUUAGCUGGUCUGAGAGGAUGAUCAGCCACACUGGAACUGAGACGCGGACCAGACUCCUACGGGAGGCAGCAGUGAGGAAUAUUGGUCAAUGGGCGGAAGCCUGAACCAGCCAUGCCGCGUGCGGGAUGAAGGCCCUACGGGUUGUAAACCGCUUUUCCCCGGGAAGAAUAACCCCGACGCGUCGGGGGAUGCCGGUACCGGGGGAAUAAGGAUCGGCUAACUCCGUGCCAGCAGCCGCGGUAAUACGGAGGAUCCGAGCGUUAUCCGGAUUUACUGGGUUUAAAGGGUGCGUAGGCGGCCCUGCAAGUCAGCGGUGAAAUGUGGCGGCUCAACCGUUUCGCUGCCGCUGAUACUGUGGGGCUUGGAUGCGGUCGAGGCGGGUGGAAUUCGUGGUGUAGCGGUGAAAUGCAUAGAUAUCACGAGGAACGCCGAUAGCGAAGGCAGCUCGCCGGGCCGCGAUCGACGCUGAGGCACGAAAGCGUGGGGAUCAAACAGGAUUAGAUACCCUGGUAGUCCACGCCGUAAACGAUAAGGGCUGGGUGU
rnacentral:rRNA from 1 species